CUUAUAACUUAGUAAAAUAGCCCUUUGUGUGACAUAAUUUUGGAACAGAGAACAUUUACAAAGGGAGGAUUCAUCUGAGUCUGGGUUGCUGCUAGGAAGACUUUCUGGAGGAGUGGAAAGCUGUCGUUCUCAGUCAGAGUCCGCUCCCAGGAAGACUGCUGCUGACCAGAGGCGAGCCGACCACUGGGAGCUGGCAGCUCUGCUCUGUCUGCUGAAAAAGAGAACCAUCUCCAAGUUGAGGAGGCUCCUCCAUCCAUGGGAUUCUCCAAGCAAGAAUACUGGAGUGGGUUGCCAUUUCCUUCUCCAGGGGAUCUUCCUGACCCAGGGAUCGAAACUGCGUCUCCUGCACUGGCAGGCUAAUUCUUCACCACUGAGCCACCAGUGAAGCCCCUGAUAAACAUUAUUUUUUUCUAAAUGCUAAUC
ensembl:lncRNA